GGUUGGUCCGAGUGCAGUGGUAUUUACAACUAAUUGAUCACAACCAGUUGCAGAUUCCUUUGUUCCUUCUUCACUCCCACUGCUAUACUUCACUGGCCUUAA
rnacentral:Y_RNA from 1 species